rnacentral:rRNA from 1 species
CAUUGUCGAGACCCGAAAGAGACCGAGCAAUUUUGACAACAGGUGAACUACAUGCAAAGGCGGUGGAGUAAUUUGCCGCCGCCAGUCACCCGCGCCCGCACUGCUGCAGCGGCUUCCUUGCCCGGAGUCGCAGCAUGCAGGGUGUGGCGUGGGAGAAAAAAUCGGCGCAGCUUGCGUCAAGGGACACGUACGAUGCGAGCGUCUGCGGCGCUUCCCCGAAUCCCCGUGGGUUUGGUGUAGUGCCGUGGGUGCUCCUUACGGACUGUAGGACUCCCGGCAAUGGAUAUCUUGGCUCUUGCAUCGAUGAAGAACGCAACGAAAUGCGAUACGUGGUGCGAAUUGCAGAAUCCCGUGAACCAUCGAGUUUUUGAACGCAAGUUGCGCCUGAGGCCAACUGGCCAAGGGCACGUCCGCCUGGGCGUCAUGCAUUACGUAGCUUCGGCCGCCACCCACAACCGGUGUGAUGUGAUGGUGCCGGCUCGGAUGCGGAGAUUGUCCCGUCGUGCAUGUAAUUGCGCGGCGGGUUGAAGCGCCGGUUUCUUUCCUCUUGGGCAGAGUCGGUAAGGGGUGGAUGGAGGCGGCCAAUCAUUUGGCGCACAUUAUCGCUACCGCGCUACUGCGUUGAGGAGGAACGGGUAAACAUCCUAGGCGGACCCACUGGAAUGCAGUGUGUCGUGCCUUCAAAUGCGACCCCAGGAUGGGCGGGAU